AUUGAACGCUGGCGGCAGGCCUAACACAUGCAAGUCGAACGAGUGGCGGACGGGUGAGUAAUGUCUGGGAAACUGCCUGAUGGAGGGGGAUAACUACUGGAAACGGUAGCUAAUACCGCAUACCAUCGGAUGUGCCCAGAUGGGAUUAGCUAGUAGGUGGGGUAAAGGCUCACCUAGGCGACGAUCCCUAGCUGGUCUGAGAGGAUGACCAGCCAACCUCGACCGUAGACACGGUCCAGACCCCUACGGUGGGCAGCAGUGGGGAAUAUUGCACAAUGGGCGCAAGCCUGAUGCAUCCAUGCCGCGUGUAUGAAGAAGUCCUUCGGUUUGAAAAGUACUUUCAGCGGGGAGGCGUUACCCGAAGAAGAAGCCCCGGCUAACUCCGUGCCAGCAGCCGCGGUAAAC
rnacentral:rRNA from 1 species